GGGACAGGGUUGAAAGGGCAAACGUGAGAGGUGGUGCUGCCGCUCUGUUCGCAGGCCGCGGGGAAGUGUGCUGCUAACGCCAUGGAGGAAAUAGAAACGGAGGAAGACAAGCUUUUAAAAAGACACCGCAAAGAAAAGAAGGAAUUGCAGGCUAAAAUACAGGGAAUGAAAAAUGCCGUAGCUAAAAAUGACAAGAGAAGAAGAAAACAGCUUGUAGAAGAAGUAGCAAAAAUUGAGGCCGAGCUGGAACUAAGGCAUGAAGAGGAACUAAAGCAAUUCUCACUUGAUAAGUCUAAUACGGUCGAAUCUGGAAUUGCAAAUUUGGAAUUGGAAAUAAAUAAUGAGAAAGAAGUUAAACAUCUUCGGCUAUCCAAAGCACAGAAGAGAAGGGAGAAAAAAGCUGCUCAGGAGAAAGAAAGAGAAGAGAGGAUAGCUGAAGCUGAAGUUGAGAACUUGAAAGGAGCCCGGUAUCUUGAAAAUCAGAAACUUGCUGAGAUUCUUGCUUCAAGGAAAUUGCAAAUCAAGCAGAUCCCAUCUGAUGGUCACUGCAUGUACAAAGCUAUUGAAGACCAACUCAGAAACCAGAAUAGUCUGUUAACACUUAUGGAGCUAAGGUCACUGGCAGCUGAAUACAUGAGAAGUCAUAUGGAUGACUUCCUACCUUUUCUGACCAACUCUAAUACAGGCGACAUGUAUACACCUGAUGAAUUUGAGAAGUACUGUCAUGAAGUAGCCAGUACAGCAGCAUGGGGUGGACAACUUGAGUUGAGGGCUUUAUCACAUGUUUUGAAAAUGCCCAUGGAGGUUAUACAAGCUGACUCUGCUCCAAUCACAGUAGGUGAAGAGUAUGGAAAGAAACCAAUAAUUCUAGUAGACAGCUUGUAGGAUCAGAUAUUCCCAUUCAAAGAUAUUAUCUUCUGGAUGCACACGAGCUCUGGGGAUGGAAAUGGCCUAUUCUCGGAUUUAUCAUGGAUUGACUGCUAUAUUUAUACAUGAGACACGCAUAUGGUUUAGGAGAACAUUAUAACUCUGUAGAACAAUUAAAAGACCCAGAUACAGAAGAUACAAGCUGAAUGCUACCAGUAUUUACAUUUUCUAUCAGUGUUUCAAUUUCAAAUGUACUUUUCCUGUGGAGCUGAAAAUUGUACUUUUGCACAGUUCAUUUAGAAAAUUUACGAAUAAUGCAUAUCCCACUUGUUUUUCUUGGGUACAUCAUUUAAUUGUGAGAAGACCAAUAAAAGCUAAAUGGAGAUUGCAUGUGGUGAUAAGGAUUAAAUAUUUCAGUGAUCCUGCUAUUCAGUAUGUGCUGUGCAUAAUAAUGUUAAUAAAAUUAGCAGAAAAUAUGUUACACUUCAUGUUUUGUGCCAUUGAAUUUUGAAACUGCUGAAAUUGCUUGUCCUUUUUUCUGAGAAUGGAUAUAAUGUAAUUCAAACUAUGUCCAGUUCUGGUUGCCUCAUUAUAGGGAGCUAGUGGUAUAAUGAGGAGGGGUGACGGGUUGACAUUUAAAGUUAAAUGUGGAAAGAAUAAAACAGCAGCCGGUGUUAAUGAUAUGCACAGAUUUGGUAGACUAAAGGGACUGUUACGUGCUAUAUAAUACUAUAACUUAAAACUGAUUGAAAGCUGUAAUGAAAAGGAAAACCAAUUGGUUUUUAAGCACCACAGAUAGAAAGGAAAUCUUAGAAAAUUUUCUUGAGGGUGACACAGUAGUGUAGCAGUUAGCAUAAUACUACAGCACCAGUGACCUGCAUUCAAUUUUGUUGCUAUCUGUAAGGAGUUUGUAUGCUCUCCCCGUGACCUCAUAGAUUUUUUUUCUGGGUGCUCUGGUUUUGUUCCACGUUCCAAAGACGCAUAUUAAUACACAUGGGUGUAAUUGGGUGACAUGGGUUCAUUGAGAUGUUACUAAGCUGUAUCUCUAACUAAAUUAAAAAAUGGUGAAUAAAAGACUGGAACCCUUUCAUCCUC